rnacentral:rRNA from 1 species
UACGUAGGGGGCAAGCGUUGUCCGGAUUUAUUGGGCGUAAAGAGCGUGUAGGCGGCCAGGUAGGUCCGUUGUGAAAACUCGAGGCUCAACCUCGAGACGUCGGCGGAAACCCUCUGGCUAGAGUCCGGAAGAGGAGAGUGGAAUUCCUGGUGUAGCGGUGAAAUGCGCAGAUAUCAGGAAGAACACCCGUGGCGAAGGCGGCUCUCUGGGACGGUACUGACGCUGAGGCUCGAAAGCAUGGGGAGCAAACAGG